rnacentral:miRNA from 43 species
UGAGGUAGUAGUUUGUACAGUU